rnacentral:snRNA from 1 species
GUGCUCGCUUCGGCAGCACAUAUACUAAAAUUGGAAUGAUACAGAGAAGAUUAGCAUGGCUCCUGUAAUAAAAAUAAAAUUUAAAUAAAUAAACAAAUAACACACAUUG